AUUACAUAAUUAUAUUUAAGUCCCCCGAGUAUUUGUACGAGAUCUAAAUACGGAGGCCCUAAGUAUGGUAUAAACAGUAGUCCCCUAAGUCUUCAGUCAAGAGAGUCUUUUGGCUGGAGAUUUGAAAUUCAGUCCAUGUAUGGGCCGAAGUAACUAGAUGUUGUCUUGAACUGAUGCUCGAUAUGAGGUGGUGCUUAAUCUGAAAUGAUGCUCAACUAGAAGUAGCACAUGCUGCGAGGUUGCUCGGCUCGUGGCUUAUGUUGCCUUGGUUGGCUCGGUUUGUGGCGUUGAAGGUGAUGGAGUCCCUUUUAUAGAAUAAGGGCUUGCUCCUCAAUCCAUAAAUGAUGGGCUAGAGUUGAUGCUCGCGGCGAGGCGGUUGCUCAGUAGGCGGCGAUGCUCUCUAAUGAUGGUGAGGGAGUCCCUUUUAUAGGAUAAGGGUUUGCUCCUCAGUACAUGAAUAAUAGGUGCUCUCUAAUGAAAGUGAGGGAGUCCCUUUUAUAGAAUAAGGGCUCGCUCCUCAGUACAUA
rnacentral:lncRNA from 1 species